rnacentral:tRNA from 1 species
GCCCUUGUAGCUCACUUGGAUAGAGCACCGGCCUCCUAAGCUGGGGGUAGUGAGUUCGAAUCUCGCCAAGGGCACCU